UCCCUCGCCGCCGCCGCCCAGAUGCGCCCCAAAUCCCUAGCCGCUGCCGCCGCCGCGUCGGGCUGCGCGCUGAAUCCCUCGCCGCCGGCUCCGCCUCCUCCAAUCUCUCGCAUGUCCCCUCUGCCAUGUUUGUAGGGUCGUCGACCAUGGAACGACCCCUUCCGGAAUAUCGCCGUCAACCUCCCUACUGCCUCCGCGGGGAGGGUCUCCGUCAACGUCGCUGCCACUGCCGUCACUCGACCGCCGUAGCAUCCUUCUUUGAGUACCACCCCGUUCCAUCCAGGGAACUCUUUCCUGAAGCGCAUUGCUUUGGUUCGCUCUGUCCAGAAUAAUGCACUGAAAAUGAAAAUAAUGCAGGGAACGCAUCAUGAAAGUAAUGUUUGUUCAGUCCAAAUGUUACGUACCAUUCUAUUUCCUUAUGACUUUAUUCUCUUACAGUUUGCUCUCUAUCCAGUAGCAGUUGCGUUGCAAGUACAAUUCACAUCAUCAGUGCAACAGAGAGGUUAAAGAUGAGGUUGAGGUUAUCACUUGGCGUCAAGAAAUUGUAUAAUAUUCCUCCAAAUGAAGUGCUCAUGAUUAGGAGCAAAAUUCAAGAUCCGGGAUCCACGUGAGAUGCAAGAGCCUUUGCUCUAUUCAAGGAUUUAGGAAGCAUUGACCAGCUGCAUG